ACUGGGAUUACAAGGUGUGCGCCACCACGCCCGGCUAACUUUUGUGUUUUUAGUAGAGACAGGGUUUCGCCAUGUUGGCCCAGCUGGUCUCGAACUCUUGACCUCAAAUGAUCCACCCACCUUGGCCUCCCAGAGUGCUGGGAUUGCAGGAGUGAGCCACCGCACCCUGCUUAUUUAUUAAUUUAUUUGUCCAAUAUUUAUCAAUCUCCUACCAUGCCCAAGGCACCUUAGAGGGCACCGAGAAUACAACAGCAAACACGACACAGUCCCUGCCCUCGGUCACUUCAAGAGCUGGAGGGAGAGGGGAGUGAGUGAAAACAGUGCACUGAGAUGGAAGAUGGGAGGGGCAAUCGGGGGUGCUUCACAGAGGAGGAGGCAUGUUGGUAACGUGGUAACGUGGAACGUUGGUAACGUUCCGUGAUAACGUGGAAAGUUGGUAACGUUCCGUGAAGUCUGCAUCUUCAAAUGCCCCUAGCUCUGUCUAGGCUGAUGAGACGGGAGAAUGGCCAGGCCUGAGAAGUGGCUUAUGGUUGGAGGGGAGUCAGAAAGGGAAGGAUGAUUUCUCAGAAGGAAUGAGAGGAGCGCAGCCCCCUUGGUGAUCCCCACUUCCUGGGGAACGGGCCUUUUCCUGGCAGUGCUGUGCUGCGGCCCCGCGGGCCAAAUGCGGGUAGACAUGCUGCCCUCCCGCGCGUGGCCGGGAAAAGGGCAGGGCACUGUUCCUUCCCUGUGCCCCUCCCCUCUGCCAUCAGUCUCCACUUCUCUAUUUACCUCCCUGCCCUCUCGCCCCUAAACCUCCUUUCUCUCCCCAUCUGGCUUCCCUCUCCAUCCGUCAGUGAGCUGUGAUUGCGCUGCACUCCAGCCUGGGCGACAGAGUGAGACUUUGUCUCUAAAAAAGAAGAAGAAAAAAAAAAAAAAACGAAUGAUGAAGGAAAGUGACAAGAUUUCCAUUUCCAGAAACCCAAGUCUUGACGUUAUCCACACGGAAGAUGUCGCUCAGAAUACACUUUUCUUGGAGAAGGACGGCCCUGCAACUGCAUUCAAUUCAGUUUCUUGCCUGAGGAGGGUGAAAAAACAAGGAGGGUCUCAAGAACUGAGCGCAGCUGUGAGGAGCAGCUCACAAGGAAGGAGGAAGCACAGUCAAGAGGAACCCAUCAUCUGGUGUUGAAAGGUAGAUUUGCAGAAGUCCACCCAUGUGUAGCGGAGACAGAAUACUCAGCAGAUAUUUCCCAGGCUCCCCUGCAGGCUCAGCCCCUGCAGAGGGGAAGUGGAUAAGCCUCAUUUCUGGACUGAAGCUGCACGUUGAAUGGGUAAAGCCCGUGGUCAUAAGCAGGCUGGUUCAAUGACAUGGAAGACACAACUCUGCAGUCACUGGAACCACGAUGGACUCUGUGUGUGCUGGAAAUGAACCUUCAUGGUGCUAAGUCACUGAGAUUUCAGAUUUUGUCCGUUGCCCUAACAUAUCAUUGCCUACACACACUAGUAGACUGUUUAUCUUUUUCUAAAGCAAGAAAAACCACACAUCAAUAAACAUUUGCUGUGCCUCUAUUAUACGCAAGAGAACAUAGCAGUGAACUCCCUCCCCGAAGAGCACUUUCUCCAUGGAAGUCUCUGAUUCAUCGUUCACUGUUCCCAUGGGUGACUGACGACAUCCCAAACUCUGAAGGCUGGUGACAAUCCAGUUCGGGAAUAUCGGUGUGGAGGAAGCAUUGGCUCUGAUGCCAGAAACUCAAAUUAGCUUUUGAUAUUUAAUGUCAUUUAAUCUUGUCUGUUUACUUAUUUAAAAUAACUGUGACUUUCUUCAUUUUCAAUGUUCAUUAAAGUACAUUUUGUACUUGAUGGAAGAUUAGUAUCUCUUGAAACAUAUCAUGUGAAGUAAUUUUAGACUCCUUUUCUUCCCAAAUUAGGCUGCCAUCAAGCCCUGCUGCUUCCAUCACAGAGUUUCCAAAGCACUCUCAUUCUUGCACCUUCACCAUCAAUGGGUUCAAUUAAAAAACAAACCCUGACUUUUGGGUAUAUAGCAAGGAGUAGGUGGGCAGACCAGAGACAGUCACCUUUUAAAAUCUCAUCUGAGAGGCUUACUUACUUCAUAAUCUCUUGAGUGAUGUACCUGAGGGAGUCCCUCGUAUCUUCAGAAAGAAAGAAUGUUUUCUAUUUUGUUGCUAAUCUUACCAUGGAACCUUAAAUAAAGAAUAGUGAAAUUUUAUUAGGGAAGGAAAGUAGGGAGAAGAGAGUGAUUAAUAUACUCAGUUUCUCAAGUGCAAAGAAAUUUCAGCGAGCUGUAAAGUUUGAGUAUGUGUGUAACUUUUUAUUUCCCCUUGAUGUAUGAUUAGGUUUACUACCUCUUGAUAUUAACAUUUACACACCAGCUGUAGUAGCAACACAUUUUACAUUCUUUUGCAAAUUAGUUUUCAAUCCAGUAUGUCUCUGGAAAGGGAAGUAAAAUCUUGCUAAAGAAUAC
ensembl:lncRNA